CACCUCAACACACUGGUCCAGGAAGCCCAGGAGAGGGUGAGUGAACUGUCUGCCCAGGUGGAGAAUGAAGGAUUCACUCUGGACAACACAGAGAAAGAGAAACAGCUGAAAGCUUGGGAGUGGAGGUAUCGGCUCUACAGACGCAUGAAAACAGGCUUUGAGCAUGCCAGAGCCCCUGAGAUGCCAACCAAUGUCUGUCUCAUGGUAACCAGCAGCACAUCACUCACUGUCAGCUUCCAAGAGCCUCUUAGCGUCAAUGCAGCUG
rnacentral:lncRNA from 1 species